rnacentral:rRNA from 1 species
GACGAACGCUGGCCGCGUGCUUAACACAUGCAAGUCGAACGGUGAACGAGGGAGCUUGCUCCCUCCGGAUCAGUGGCGAACGGGUGAGUAACACGUGAGCAAUCUGCCCCGAACUCUGGGAUAAGCGUUGGAAACGACGUCUAAUACCGGAUACGACGCGGGAGGGCAUCCUCUCCGCGUGGAAAGAACUUCGGUUGGGGAUGAGCUCGCGGCCUAUCAGCUUGUUGGUGAGGUAACGGCUCACCAAGGCGACGACGGGUAGCCGGCCUGAGAGGGUGACCGGCCACACUGGGACUGAGACACGGCCCAGACUCCUACGGGAGGCAGCAGUGGGGAAUAUUGCACAAUGGGCGCAAGCCUGAUGCAGCAACGCCGCGUGAGGGACGACGGCCUUCGGGUUGUAAACCUCUUUUAGCAGGGAAGAAGCGAAAGUGACGGUACCUGCAGAAAAAGCACCGGCUAACUACGUG